rnacentral:misc_RNA from 1 species
AAGUCGUAACAAGGUCUCCGUAGGUGAACCUGCGGAGGGAUCAUUACACAAAUUAAAAUAUGAAGGCUUCGGCUGGAUUAUUUUUAUCACCCUUGUCUUUUGCGCACUUGUUGUUUCCUGGGCGGGUUCGCCCGCCACCAGGACCACACCAUAAACCUUUUUUAUGCAGUUGCAAUCAGCGUCAGUAUAACAAAUGUAAAUCAUUUACAACUUUCAACAACGGAUCUCUUGGUUCUG